rnacentral:tRNA from 1 species
GGGGGCUGUGGCUCAGUAGCAGAACAUCUGCUUGGAGUGUGGAAGGGCCCAGGUUCAAUUCUUAGCAUUUCCA